UACGUAGGGUGCAAGCGUUAUCCGGAUUUACUGGGUUUAAAGGGUGCGUAGGUGGGCCUGUAAGUCAGUGGUGAAAUCUUCAAGCUUAACUUGGAAACUGCCAUUGAUACUAUAGGUCUUGAAUUAUCUGGAGGUAAGCGGAAUAUGUCAUGUAGCGGUGAAAUGCUUAGAGAUGACAUAGAACACCCAUUGCGAAGGCAGCUUACUACGGAUUGAUUGACACUGAGGCACGAAAGCGUGGGGAUCAAACAGG
rnacentral:rRNA from 1 species